UGAGAUUUAGAAAAGAGCCUGUAAGUUGUAAGUGCUCACUCAGUACCAAGUUUUGGUUCAAUGAAUGAAAGCAGGAAUGACAGAUAAUUCUGGCAGUUUGUAAAAUAUCUGUAGACCAAGACUUAUCUCUGUGAAAGGCCUUGCUGACACUGGAAUGAGUCGACAUGUCUACCAACUCAGAGGGAUAAGGAAAAGGCACUAUACUGCUGGGUCCUGAUAAGAGAAGAAGGUGUCUACAAUGCUGGAGUGGACAGCAGGCUGGAGGGAGAAUCAUUUUGAGAAAGCCCAUGUAUGCGGCAGGUGCAAGUCUCCCAGGAAAUUAAGGAGAAAAACAAACACACCCUGGAAGAAAGCAGUGGUGCUGACCUCAUCAAUGUCAGGCCUCGAGAGACACAGAAGGAGUGCCUCAGGAUGCCCAGUGACUGUUCUUCAGCACACGGGGCAGCAAGUGACACAGACGCAGUGGGUGACACAGAACUAGAAUUCUUGCUAGAAGUUUACUUUAGACAUCCUGGAAUUUCCACUCAUCCUGACUCUACAAGCACAUCAAGAUACUGACCAGUCCUGAUCCUUCUUCCCAGUGUCACAGAGUCAAAGUCACUCACAAAGAGUGCAGUUUGACCCCGAGGCCCAAGCCCGGGACUGAUGGUGAAGAGACGAAAGUUGGGCUUCAGCUACUGGGGAGGCUGAGGUAGGGGGAUCGAUUGAGCCUGGGAGAUCAAGGCUGCAGUGGGUCAAGAUCAUGUCACUGCACUCCAGCCUAGGCAACAGAGCAAGACCCUGUCUCAAAAAAAAAAAAAAUGGGGGGCUUGAGCUGUGAGUCUUUGCAAUGAGAAGCUGUGUAAACCAAAAUGCCUAGUGAAUGAGAGACUCUGCUUGACUGUUUUUUUCUUCGUAAAUGGUUGAUAAAGCAGAAAAUUCUCAACAUCUCUGCCCUUGUUGAGAAAUUAUAUAGAUGCGCCCUUUGUACCUUUAAAUUUUGCAGGUAAUACCUAUGCAAAAAAUAAAUAAAAACAAGGACAAAAUAAAAACAACUUUCCUGCCCUGGUGAGUCCUCUACUAACAAUAAUUAUUUAUUUCAUGUUUUGAUAUCUUCCAGUGCUUUACAGUUCUCAUUCGGGCAAUUCAUGAUUAAGCCUGAAGAUGAACCUCUGCUGACACUACCAAAAUCAUUUC
rnacentral:lncRNA from 10 species